rfam:Triticum aestivum genome assembly, contig: Triticum_aestivum_CS42_TGACv1_scaffold_145978_2BS
AAAGUACUCCCUCCGUCCCAAAAUUCUUGUCUUAGAUUUGUCUAGAUACGGAUGUAUCAAGUCACAAUUUAUUAUUAGAUACAUCCGUAUCUAGACAAAUCUAAGACAAGAAAUUUGGGACAAAGGGAGUAGUUG